GUAUGUUGGAUUAUCUGUUGAUUCUUCGUCACCUUCCUUUAGAACGCGACCUUCUUGGUUUUUAUUUUAUUUUGUUAUUCAAGCAGGGUCUUAUGAUUGCAGACUAGCCUCCUAUUCCAUAGAGCUGAGGAUGAUCUUGAACUUCUGGUCCUCUUGCCCCCACCUUCUAACCACUGCAAGUACAAGCCUGGGAUAGUGCACUCAUUAAUGCUGACGUGUGGGGAUCAAAUUCUGGACUUACUGCAUGCUAGAAACAUCCUUAGCCCCUAGAAUGAGAACUUGUUCCUCCAGGGGAGAGCACAAAUGCAGUCCCCCACCACCACAAAUUAUGCAGUUUCCCGCAUUUGGGGAAACUGAAGGUCGGCACGUCUGGAGUGCAAUGGAUAAGCCUCACGUGGGAAACCACCUUUGUGGGCCUGCUGUCUUCCCUGCCAGGCACGUCAGUAAAACCAGCUGGCUUGAGGAAGACUGUUUUCAGUUUUGCUCAGACGUCUGCAUUUCAAGGAUAUUAGAGGAAGGAUGGAAUGUUCCAAUCUCAGAGGACACUGCUGGAACAGGAAGAUGAGUUGGCUGCAAGGAUGAAACUUCACUCUAGAAAGAAUUUUUCAGAAGAAUCUCUAGUACAAUACAGGAAGCUUGAGCCCAGGGAAGAGUGUGCUGCAACCUCUGUGCAAAGCCUGGUGAAGACAGUGGAAUAAGCAUCGUGGGGGGGGGGGGUUGAGUUCAGUCUGCAGGCAGCCUUUUGGCUUUCCUGUUGCCUGCCAUCUCAGUCAUCAGGCCCUUACACACUUGUUGAACUUUUCUAUUGUGCAAUUCUGUACAUUCGGUGAUUUACUUGGUUGUUCUUUUAUGGACAAAACUCUGCCCUGGGGUUGGGGAAGGUUAGAAAGAAAAGUAUAAGAUAGGUGUAGUAGCAUACACCUUUAAUCUCAGUGCUCAGAGGAAGAAGCAGGUGGAUCUCUGGGAGUUUGAGACCAGCCUGGUCUACCUAGCAAGUUCCAGGACUGUCAGGGCUACAGGAAAGAGAAACCUUGUCUUAAAAAUAAAAUAAAAGUAUAAACUAA